GUGCUAGCUGAUUAGGAAAACCUCUGUUCUCCUUCUAAGCACGCAGCUAAACUGUUUUCCAUCCGUUUUUUGCCGUUAAGUGCGGUCAUGUGACUGAGUUCUAACCAAUUAGAAUGAGACGGCAAGGGAUGUGUAGCUUUUUCAAUCCUGGCCAUAAUAACAUUGUCCUUUGUGCGCUUCUCAAUGUCCUUUCUCCUUUCAUUAGGUAAAAUGGAGAUGAUCCCCAGGGCCAUCUUGGAAGCAGUUUUUGAAGACGGUAGAGUCUCGGGCCACGGCCGUUUAACUGCUGAAAGACUAGGAAGGGGUCCGUUUCAUUAACACGUUCAACCAAAGAGCGCUGUUAGGUGAGCAAAAACAAACCAGUUGUGUCUGAGCCAACACCCGUUUGUCUAUGGGUUGUAGCAGUUGGUCCACCUAAUCAAGGAAGUGCUGAGAGCACGGGACAUGAAAAGACACAGCGCUAAGCUGGAGUCAGCGUCUCGUGCUCUUGCCCAGGCUGGUCUUGAACUCCUGGGCUCAAGUGAUCCUCCCGCCCUGGCCUCCCAAAGUACUGGGAUUAUAGAUGUGAGCCAUCGAGCCCAGCUACAGCAGUUCUUAAAAGGAAAGUAACAUAAUCAUAUUUGUGUGCUAGAUAAUUAUAACAACAUAGAGGAUUCAUUGAAGAGAGAGACAGGAGAUGAGAAAAACAAUUUCAUCCUUUGUUUAUCAAGGACCUAUUAUGUAUACUUGAUCGUGCAUCAGGCACUACAGAUUCAAAGAUGAAUAAGAGUCCAGCAAGGGAAACAAUAAGUACCUUUAUGGGACUUGGGGAGACUCAAACUCUGGCCUCGGGUCUUCAUCUCCAUGAACCUCUUAAUUAAAACAAGAGAAGGGCCUCAACUAGAGCAGGGGUUGAGGACAUCGAAAAGAUAACCUACUUGAGAAACAUCUCAGAAAUGAAAUGAAUCAGGCUGAGUUUUGGAGUGGAUGUAGAAGUUGAGAGCAGUGAAAACCAAAACUGAGGUCUUUAUACUGGGCAACUGCACAGAUAGUGCUGCUAAUAGGAAAAUGCAGGAGAAGCAACUGACUUAGAGAACUGUCUUGCAUGCUUUUCUUUCUGAGAGAGUAAAUAUCAAAUUCCUAUAGGACAGGUACAAGCAACUCACAUAAAAAUUGCCAACAGCCAAUAAAUUGUUUCUUUUUUUUUUGAGACAGACUUUCACUCUGUUGCCCAGGCUGAAGUGCAGCAGCAAGAUCAUAACUCACGGCAAACUUGACCCCCCCAGGCUCAGAUGAUCUUCUGGCCUCAGCCUCCCAAAUUUCCUGCACCACAAAGUUCCUUUCACUUAAAAAAAAAUUUUUUUAUAUUACACCAUCUUUAUUUGUGCCUUAGAGUCUAAGGCUAUCAAUCAAACUUCAGUAAGAACAGUUUGAGCAUCAACUAAUGAACAGUAGCUAAACCAGAGAGCAGUCAAAAGUGUUUUAAAGGGAGCAGCAUCAACUGAUGUUCUGCCAAGUCUCUGGGUGUUCAGGACCACGGUCCCCCGGCACUUCCAGGCCCCUGUGGGCUGCAGGUGGAGGCCGAGGAGCCAAAGGGCUGCUCAGGAAAGGGUGGAACUUGGCCUCGCAGUCAGCUGGCUUCUGCCUAUUAUGGUCAUCUUCUUUCCAGAGGUCUUGCUAUCUCAGUGGACGUGGCGGUCAUCCAGCCGUCCUGGGCUGUUUUCUCAUAAAAGAGGAUCUCCCUCUGAAAACUGUGUCAUCCUUCAAUUCCUGGGCCAAGUCUUGGGACACAUCUUUUCUUAAAGCUUGCUGAAGUGACAAGAGCAGUUCUGUUUUCCUGCACUUUACGAAGUCUCUGAGGUGCAGGCAGUAGACAUCCUUCUCUAUGGACUCCCCCUGAGGCUCCUUCAUGUGUUUUCAGGGCAGUUCAGGCAGAGUGGAAAGCGUUGGCUGCAGCUUCGGGAGGUCCCUCUCCAGCUGUGCCUUUGAACCCUGCAGAGAGACCUGCUCGCUGAGCAGACCUUGGACUUGUGCUGUGAGUUCUGUACUCCUCUGGGUUUCUUCUCACAAUUGUAUGUCUGCUUUACCAGUCUUUCCCUCGCGACAUUCGAAGGAAGCAGCUAAAUCACCAUUGUCCUUCAUUCUUGCAGCAGGACUUGGGCCACAAUGCUGGGGUACAACCCUGUUCUGCUUCCCUGUUCCUCUCCACUGCCAAGUCCUCAUUUUCCAUGUUGUCUUUCCUGGUGCAGAUGAAAGGUGCUCAGCAGAGCGUGAGUCACGGAAGCUACUCGCCCACUCCAGUUCGAAUAUUCGGGACUUGAGGCCUUCUUGUCUUUUUUUUUUUUUUCUGUGGCGUCUGAUUUACAACUUCUUGGUCGGCCAGCUCUGCGGGUUGCUGAUCGUCCAUGCUGUCAUUCACAUCGUCCGUGGUGUGCACUGGAAGAUCUCUAUGCUGUGAAGCAUGCAGGAUGUGCUUCACAUCAGUCACUUGGGAAAGUUCAGGAGGCUGCUUUUUCAUGCUUUUUUCAGAAGCUCACCUAGGUUAGGUCCUGAUCAGAAGACCUGCUCAUUUCCAUUAGAACCUUCAAGCACAGUAUUUGGAGCAAUCAAGGACUGGCCCCAGCAUGGAUAACAGGUAGCUACCACUGGUGUGGGCUGCUGGCUGCAUCUUGGCACAGGCUUUCUGUGGGCCUCAACUUAGACUGAAGCCCUUUGGGCCAGCCCUUCCCUCCUUCUCACUGUGUGUCGUCUCCUGACCAGAGAGGCCAUCAGAGCCGUGCACGCCCAGCUCACCCAGAGUAUCCCUAGGGUCACUGGCACGGGUCCCAGGAUUCUGUAUAUCACUAAUUACUGCUGCCCACAGGUGGGCCAGCAGCAGUUGAGGAGGCAUUUCGUGGUGAGCAGCAGGUCUUCCGUGGCUCUUGAGGGCUCCACAGCUCUGCCUCUAUUCUCCACUGGCAUGUGGGCCACAACUGACCACUCGGAACUCUGCAGAGUGUUCCACCUCUAACACAAACAAGGGCUCGCCAACCAGGGUAAACCAUCCAUUAUGCUGGGGGAGGAAAGGCACCACAAGUUCUAGAAAACCGUGUCCCUGAUUUUGCUGUGCAAAUAGAAAGUGACAUUACUUAACACAGUGCCUUGGAAGAGUGGAAAGAGUUCACAGCAGCCCCCAGCUCAGGCCACUCCAGGUUCCACCUGGCCUUACAGCAUAGCUAGAGGGUCAAAGCCCUGUGUCCACGCACGAUCCUCUCAGGGCAGCAUGAUGGCCCAUCCGUGGUGGGGCUCAUUACCCUGAUUUCAAGUUUCCUUCUGCUGCAGGGAAGCCUGGUCCCACCUACAAAGAGACUGUCUACCUUGCUAGAUUGAACUAUAGGACUAUGUUUUCUUCAUCUCUGUAACCCUAGCAGCUCUCCAGAUACCCUUAUACACUAGGGGCAUGGUCAUUGCUUGUCUUGUUUUCUUGUUGACUCUACUCUGACUUAGGGCACGUCGAUUUCCCCUCUAGAUCUCCAUAUUCAGAUCUGUGAAUGAGAGUAAGUGGGUGAAGGCCCCUCUAGCUUUAAAACCCCUCCAAUACAGACAGACCACUGAAACCGGAAGCAGAAGCUGAGUGUGGUGAGUGGAGCAUUUUCCCUGGCAUGAUGGAGGGGACCUAUGGAUCUGGCUAUGAGGGUGGCAUCUGGCCACUUGAAUGCCUCUGCAGAACUGGACCCUAGUUUUCAAAUCAGACUCAAGAAUGAUCUUUAGUGUGGGUGGUUUUGUGGGGCAUAUAUUUUUUGAGACUUUGUUAUUGACACAACAGCUUCUGGAAGUCUUUUUGACAGAGAGUAUGCACAGGUGCGGGCUCCAUCUGCUUGGCAGCCGCUGUCUGGUGACGGUGAGGGCUGAGAGCUGGACGGUCCUGUUAGAAAAGCAGCAUGCCAGCCUCUGGCAAUGAGCAGAGUGACCCGACCUCGUCUCUCCUUCCCCGUGGAGCACUGCGAGCUCUUCCCCAGACCGGCUUCUCGGCUUCCCUUCACCCGCUCCCACCAGGCGGCUGAGGCCACUCUAGGAUUCCAUUUUUAGUUGUACUUUUUUUUUUAAUUGAUCAUUUUGUGAGCAUUUUUCUCUUGAAUGCAACAGAAAUAACACAAGUCCUUAAAAAUGUAGGAUCUCUCAGCUCCCACAAAAACAAAGAAGGACUUAGGAGAACUAUGUAAUUCUCUACAUAUUUAAAUUGUUAGCUCUAAAAAUAGAUUCGGAGAAAGGGUGGACACAUGUUCCAAUUUUCUCGUAACAGUCCUGGGUUAUGCCUGUUAUCCUGGCAUAGUUAUUAAUCUUGUCCCCUUUCACUCUCAGAGUCUCCUGGUUUGGAGGAUAAUUUCAUUCUAUUCAAAGAGGAAAUCUACAAAAAGGUGUCAUCAUCUAACCUGUAUUCAUAUAAACAUUUUCCAGUCUCACGGUUCUGUGUACCUCUCCAAACCCCUCAAUCUUCUAAUCAUUUUGUGUAUUAUUUAUAGGAAAAGAGCACCAGCUAAAAUACCUUGCCCUUGGAUUUCUUCAGCCAGCUGCUGAAGUAAUUUGUCUUAGUCUUUACUGAAGACUGAAUUGUAUCAUUAAGACUUUCUUCUAAGUCCUGUUAUUUUGACUUUUUGACUCACUUUAUGCCCUCUGAUACAUAAAGUGGCAAUAAUUUCUACAAUGAACCGUUGUAUUUGUUCACGAGAAAUUCUUCCUGUUCCUCACAUUUCUAUUCAGUUUCCUAAAGGUAUGUGUUUGAAAAGUUGAAAAAUUGCCUGGCCCGGUUAUAGUUUAAUGGGAGCAUUUAAACAUACUUUUCCUACAAAGCUUAUCAGUUAGUUACUUAACCUUUAUGAAUAGGUUAAAUAUUUUCCACAGUAUUUAUAUAAAUAUGAUACUUGGUUUCAAGUUAAAUCUAAUAAAAAGGAAGUUAUUCUUGACUUAAA